GAAACUACGCCUACAUGAAGCUGGAGUUGCUAGUAAUCGCGAAUCAGCAUGUCGCGGUGAAUACGUUCCCGGGCCUUGUACACGCCGCCCGUCACACCAUGAGAGUUGGGAUACCCGAAGCCUGUGAGCCAACUUUUUAAGAGGCAGCAGUCGAAGGUAGAAUCAAUGAUUGGGGUGAAGUCGUAACAAGGUAGC
rnacentral:rRNA from 1 species